rnacentral:rRNA from 1 species
AGGGAAUAUUGCAAAAUGGGCGAAAGCCUGAUGCAGCAACGCCGCGUGGGCGAUGAAGGCCUUCGGGUCGUAAAGCCCUUUUUGCGGGGAUGAGGAAGGACAGUACCCGCAGAAUAAGCCUCGGCUAACUACGUGCCAGCAGCCGCGGUAAAACGUAGGAGGCGAGCGUUAUCCGGAUUUACUGGGCGUAAAGCGCGUGCAGGCGGAUUGGAAAGUUGGAUGUGAAAGCUCCCGGCUUAACUGGGAGGGGUCGUUCAAAACUACCAGUCUUGAGGGCGAUAGAGGGAAGUGUAAUUCCGGGGGUAGUGGUGAAAUGCGUAGAUAUCCGGAGGAACACCAGUGGCGAAAGCGGCUUCCUGGAUCGUCUCUGACGCUCAGACGCGAAAGCUAGGGUAGCAAACG